rnacentral:rRNA from 1 species
UACCCGAGUAGCAGCGGGCCCGUGAAAUCUGCUGUGAAUCCGUCGGGACCACCCGAUAAGCCUGAAUACUCCCUGGUGACCGAUAGCGGACUAGUACCGUGAGGGAAAGGUGAAAAGUACCCCGGGAGGGGAGUGAAAUAGUACCUGAAACCGUGCGCUUACAAUCCGUCGGAGCCUUCGAGCAGUUUGGUCUGCUGGGGGUGACGGCGUGCCUUUUGAAGAAUGAGCCUGCGAGUUAGUGGCAUGUCGCGAGGUUAACCCGUGUGGGGUAGUCGUAGCGAAAGCGAGUCCGAACAGGGCGUAUCAGUGGCAUGUUCUAGACCCGAAGCGGAGUGAUCUACCCAUGGCCAGGGUGAAGCGACGGUAAGACGUCGUGGAGGCCCGAACCCACUUAGGUUGAAAACUGAGGGGAUGAGCUGUGGGUAGGGGUGAAAGGCCAAUCAAACUCCGUGAUAGCUGGUUCUCCCCGAAAUGCAUUUAGGUGCAGCGUCGCGUGUUUCUCACCGGAGGUAGAGCUACUGGAUGGUCUAGGGGGCCCACAAGCUUACCGAAAUCAGCCAAACUCCGAAUGCCGGUGAGUGAGAGCGCGGCAGUGAGACUGCGGGGGAUAAGCUUCGUAGUCGAGAGGGAAACAGCCCAGAUCGCCGGCUAAGGCCCCUAAGCGUGUACUAAGUGGAAAAGGAUGUGGGAUCGCUGAGACAACCAGGAGGUUGGCUUAGAAGCAGCCACCCUUGAAAGAGUGCGUAAUAGCUCACUGGUCAAGUGGUUCUGCGCCGACAAUGUAGCGGGGCUCAAGUACACCGCCGAAGCCGCGGCACUCACACAACACCCACUCGUUCCUGCGGGGACGGGUGCAGUGGUGUGGGUGGGUAGGGGAGCGUCGUGCCGCCGGGGAAGCGCCGGAGUGAUCCAGGUGUGGAGGCGGCGCGAGUGAGAAUGCAGGCAUGAGUAGCGAAAGACGAGUGAGAAACUCGUCCGCCGAAUGACCAAGGGUUCCUGGGCCAGGUUAAUCCGCCCAGGGUGAGUCGGGACCUAAGGCGAGGCCGACAGGCGUAGUCGAUGGACAACGGGUUGAUAUUCCCGUACCCGUGUGAACGCGCCCCUGGUGAAU